rnacentral:tRNA from 2 species
AAAAAAUUAGUUAAUAAUAACAUUAGUUUGUCAAACUAAAAUUAUCAACUAAUUGAUAUUUUUUA